AGUGAACGCUGGCGGCAGGCCUAACACAUGCAAGUCGAGCGGCAGCGGGUCCUUCGGGAUGCCGGCGAGCGGCGGACGGGUGAGGAAUGCGUCGGAAUCUGCCUUUUUGUGGGGGAUAACGUAGGGAAACUUACGCUAAUACCGCAUACGACCUACGGGUGAAAGUGGGGGACCGCAAGGCCUCACGCAGAAAGAUGAGCCGACGUCGGAUUAGCUAGUUGGCGGGGUAAAGGCCCACCAAGGCGACGAUCCGUAGCUGGUCUGAGAGGAUGAUCAGCCACACUGGAGCUGAGACACGGUCCAGACUCCUACGGGAGGCAGCAGUGGGGAAUAUUGGACAAUGGGCGCAAGCCUGAUCCAGCCAUGCCGCGUGUGUGAAGAAGGCCUUCGGGUUGUAAAGCACUUUUGUCCGGAAAGAAAUCCUGUCGGCUAAUACCCGGCGGGGAUGACGGUACCGGAAGAAUAAGCACCGGCUAACUUCGUG
rnacentral:rRNA from 1 species